GGAAUCUUAGGAUUCUAGUGGCGGACGGGUGAGUGACGCGUAAGAAUCUAACUUCAGGACGGGGACAACAGUUGGAAACGACUGCUAAUACCCGAUGUGCCGAAAGGUGAAACCUAAUUGGCCUGAAGAAGAGCUUGCGUCUGAUUAGCUAGUUGGUGGGGUAAAGGCCUACCAAGGCGACGAUCAGUAGCUGGUCUGAGAGGAUGAGCAGCCACACUGGGACUGAGACACGGCCCAGACUCCUACGGGAGGCAGCAGUGGGGAAUUUUCCGCAAUGGGCGAAAGCCUGACGGAGCAACGCCGCGUGAGGGAGGAAGGUCUUUGGAUUGUAAACCUCUUUUCUCAAGGAAGAAGUUCUGACGGUACUUGAGGAAUCAGCCUCGGCUAACUCCGUGCCAGCAGCCGCGGUAAUACGGGGGAGGCAAGCGUUAUCCGGAAUUAUUGGGCGUAAAGCGUCCGCAGGUGGUCAGCCAAGUCUGCCGUCAAAUCAGGUUGCUUAACGACCUAAGGGCGGUGGAAACUGGCAGACUAGAGAGCAGUAGGGGUAGCAGGAAUUCCCAGUGUAGCGGUGAAAUGCGUAGAGAUUGGGAAGAACAUCGGUGGCGAAAGCGUGCUACUGGGCUGUAUCUGACACUCAGGGACGAAAGCUAGGGGAGCGAAAGGGAUUAGAUACCCCUGUAGUCCUAGCCGUAAACGAUGGAUACUAGGCGUGGCUUGUAUCGACCCGAGCCGUGCCGAAGCUAACGCGUUAAGUAUCCCGCCUGGGGAGUACGCACGCAAGUGUGAAACUCAAAGGAAUUGACGGGGGCCCGCACAAGCGGUGGANUAUGUGGUUUAAUUCGAUGCNACGCGAAGAACCUUACCAAGACUUGACAUGUCGCGAACCCU
rnacentral:rRNA from 1 species